GACGAACGCUGGCGGCGUGCUUAACACAUGCAAGUCGAACGAAGAGCGACGGAAGCUUGCUUCUAUCAAUCUUAGUGGCGAACGGGUGAGUAACGCGUAAUCAACCUGCCCUUCAGAGGGGGACAACAGUUGGAAACGACUGCUAAUACCGCAUACGAUCUAACCUCGGCAUCGAGGAUAGAUGAAAGGUGGCCUCUACAUGUAAGCUAUCACUGAAGGAGGGGAUUGCGUCUGAUUAGCUAGUUGGAGGGGUAACGGCCCACCAAGGCGAUGAUCAGUAGCCGGUCUGAGAGGAUGAACGGCCACAUGGGGACUGAGACACGGCCCAGACUCCUACGGGAGGCAGCAGUGGGGAAUCUUCCGCAAUGGACGAAAGUCUGACGGAGCAACGCCGCGUGAGUGAUGACGGCCUUCGGGUUGUAAAGCUCUGUUAAUCGGGACGAAAGGCCUUCUUGCGAAUAGUGAGAAGGAUUGACGGUACCGGAAUAGAAAGCCACGGCUAACUACGUG
rnacentral:rRNA from 1 species